rnacentral:rRNA from 1 species
UACGGGGGGGGCAAGCGUUGUUCGGAAUUACUGGGCGUAAAGGGCGCGUAGGCGGCACGGCAAGUCAGGAGUGAAAGGCCUGGGCUCAACCUGGGAAUUGCUUUUGAAACUGCCGAGCUAGAGUGCGGAAGGGGCAACUGGAAUUCCCAGUGUAGCGGUGAAAUGCGUAGAUAUUGGGAAGAACACCUGAGGCGAAGGCGGGUUGCUGGGCCGACACUGACGCUGAUGCGCGAAAGCCAGGGGAGCGAACGGG